UGGACGUGGUGUUGUGAUUCGGCCGCUCACUGGGCAGAAGUCGCUGUUGGGAGAGAGAGAGAGCGAGAGAGAGAGAGAGAUAGAGACAUACAGACAGAGAGAGAGAAGGGGAGAGAGACAGAGAGAGAGCAAGAGACAGACAGACAGAGGGAGAGAGAGAGUGAGAGACAGACAGACAGAGGGAGAGAGAGAGCGAGAGACAGACAGAGAGACAGAGGGAGAGAGAGAGCGAGAGACAGACAGAGAGACAGAGGGAGAGAGAGAGCGAGAGACAGAGGGAGAGAGCGAGAGACAGACAGACAGAGAGACAGAGGGAGAGAGAGAGCGAGAGACAGACAGAGAGACAGAGGGAGAGAGAGAGCGAGAGACAGACAGACAGAGAGACAGAGGGAGAGAGAGAGCGAGAGACAGACAGACAGAGAGACAGAGGGAGAGACAGAGGGAGAGAGAGAGCGAGAGACAGACAGACAGAGAGACAGGGAGAGAGAGAGAGCGAGAGAGAGACAGAGGGAGAGAGAGAGAGAGAGACAGACAGACAGAGAGACAGAGAGAGAGAGAGAGAGACAGACAGAGAGAAAGAGAUAGAGAGAUGAGGUAGAGACAGACAGACAGAGAGAAAGAGAGACAGAGAGAUGAGGUAGAGACAGACAGACAGAGAGAAAGAGAUAGAGAGAUGAGGUAGAGACAGACAGACAGAGAGAAAGAGAGACAGAGAGAUGAGGUAGAGACAGAAAGAAAAAAACGAUUGAGUUAUUAACAGAGCGAGAGAGGAGAGGAGGGCAGUUUGACCCACAAUGCAUUGCGGUGCGUUGUGACCCGCGUUGGGGCUCUCUCACUCAGUCCCAGUGUCACAUCAGCGUUCUACAGAUACACAGGUAAGAAGGCACAGACACAAGGGACUUAAGAGCCACCUUACUUUAACAUUUGAAACAUAUACCUGUUUUUGGAUUUCAACUAUUAUAUUUACUUGUAGAUAUAUUUUUUAAUUGUUCUCUGUCAAACUAUACUGCAUAUUGACAAAUAUAUGAACAAACUAUAAUGAUAACCGUACAGUGCAGUGUCAAUGAUACACUUUCAUUCUGGUGAUUUUGUGGGAUUCUGUUUUCAAAAGAGAAGAUAUUUUAUACAUUUUAUGGAACUAAAAGUCCUCUAGCCGUAUAUCUGCUACAUAGCAAAACUUUAUUUUGUAUUUUUAAAAUGUCUUAAACUUGACUUUUGUAAGGGUGUCUGUCUGCCUGUAUCCCCACACUUCUCCUGGUGUGAAGGAUUUCAGGUUGAGAUGGUGACGUUUUGUAAGGGUGUCUGUCUGCCUGUAUCCCCACACUUCCCCUGGUGUGAAGGAUUUCAGGUUGAGAUGGUGACGUUUUGUAAGGGUGUCUGUCUGCCUGUAUCCCUACACUUCCCCUGGUGUGAAGGAUUUCAGGUUGAGAUGGUGACAUUUUAAAAUGGUUUGCAACUAUUUCCCUGCUUCGAACAAGGAGUGUAACCUGCCUGGAUAUAAUAGCACACUGCACAGCCAAAUGAAGUAUAUCUUCACACAGGGUGUUUCCAUUCAUUUUCAUAUAAUCUGAGAUGAGGCCGAGGUAAGCGAUAUGCAGCUGUAUACAUGGUGUUUGCAGCUCGAGACAAUAUGGCCUCUCUGUUUCCUAAAAGGGGAAUUCAGACAUGACAGUUAGAAUCUCUUAUCUUCGUCAGAGUUGAGAGAGAGUCAUAGAAAAUGGCGUGUUGAGGAACUACUUUAUCUUCACGCACCAGCAAGGCAGUUAUUUCUCUAAGAUGCAUGAUCUGCUUUUUUAAAGUGUUCUUUGAGAACGUUUCUUAAAUUCUUUGAGAAUGUUUUUUAAUUGGUUUCCACUAGUUUAGUAAUUGAAGCUUUUUCCCCCGUUUUUCUUACGCCCAAGUUGUUUUUCCCUUGUAGUUUUACCCUCAUCUGUGUCUUUACAUUGCAUCGGAUAUGUCAUGUGAUGUAAAUACAAAACUGGACAUAUUUACCAGUGAUACAUUUUGUCCAAUUUGAUAAGCCAUCCGAGUCACUCAACACUUCAUUGAAAAAGGGGUGUUACGACACAGAAUGAACGAGGAGCCAUUUUAGGCUCGGCAGUUACAUGUCAUGUUCAUUCUGCUGUCUCAUAGCCUCCCGACGACAAGACGUUGUGAAAUGGCUGACAUGGAACGCAGCACUUUCUGCACUGCCUGUCUGAGAUGCUGUGUGUGAUGCUCUGUAAUGGUGGUGUAAUGGUGGUGUAAUGGUGGUGUAAUGGUGGUGUAAUGUGUAUGUGUGUGUGUGUGUGUGUGUGUGUGUGUGUGUGUGUGUGUGUGUGUGUGUGUGUGUGUGUGUGUGUGUGAUGCUCUGUAAUGGUGG
ensembl:lncRNA